UAUUGAUCAAGGUUGACAGUGUAUGUACAUUAUUGAUCAAGGUUGACAGUGUAUGUACAUUAUUGAUCAAGGUUGACAGUGUAUGUACAUUAUUGAUCAAGGUUGACAGUGUAUGCACAUUAUUGAUCAAGGUUGACAGUGUAUGUACAUUAUUGAUCAAGGUUGAGAGUGUUUGUACAUUAUUGAUCAAGGUUGACAGUGUAUGCACAAUAUUGAUCAAGGUUGACAGUGUAUGCACAUUAUUGAUCAAGGUUGACAGUGUUGGUACAUUAUUGAUCAAGGUUGACAGUGUAUGCACAUUAUUGAUCAAGGUUGACAGCGUUUGUACAUUAUUGAUCAAGGUUGAGAGUGUAUGUACAUUAUUAAUCAAGGUUGACAGUUUUGGUACAUUAUUGAUCAAGGUUGACAGUGUUGGUGCAUUAUUGAUCAAGGUUGACAGUGUAUGUACAUUAUUGUUCAAGGUUGACAGUGUAUGUACAUUAUUGAUCAAGGUUGACAGUGUAUGUACAUUAUUGAUCAAGGUUGACAGUGUAUGUACAUUAUUGAUCAAGGUUGACAGUGUAUGUUCAUUAUUGAUCAAGGUUGACAGUGUAUGUACAUUAUUGAUCAAGGUUGACAGUGUAUGUACAUUAUUGAUCAAGGUUGACAGUGUAUGUACAAUAUUGAUCAAGGUUGACAGUGUAUGUACAUUAUUGAUCAAGGUUGACAGUGAAUGUACAUUAUUGAUCAAGGUUGACAGUGUAUGUACAUUAUUGAUCAAGGUUGACAGGUGUUGGUACAUUAUUGAUCAAGGUUGACAGUGUAUGUACAUUAUUGAUCAAGGUUGACAGGUGUUUGUACAUUAUUGAUCAAGGUUGACAGGUGUUUGUACAUUAUUGAUCAAGGUUGACAGUGUAUGUACAUUAUUGAUCAAGGUUGACAGGUGUUGGUACAUUAUUGAUCAAGGUUGACAGUGUAUGUACAUUAUUGAUCAAGGUUGACAGUGUAUGUACGUUAUUGAUCAAGGUUGACAGUGUAUGUACAUUAUUGAUCAAGGUUGACAGUGUAUGUACAUUAUUGAUCAAGGUUGACAGUGUAUGUACAUUAUUGAUCAAGGUUGACAAUGUUGGUGCAUUAUUGAUCAAGGUUGACAGUGUAUGUACAUUAUUGAUCAAGGUUGACAGUGUAUGUACAUUAUUGAUCAAGGUUGACAGUGUAUAUACAUUAUUGAUCAAGGUCGACAGUGUAUGUACAUUAUUGAUCAAUGUUGACAGUGUUUGUACAUUAUUGAUCAAGGUUGACAGUGUAUGUACAAUAUUGAUCAAGGUUGACAGUGUAUGUACAUUAUUGAUCAAGGUUGACAAUGUUGGUACAUUAUUGAUCAAGGUCGACAGUGUAUGUACAUUAUUGAUCAAUGUUGACAGUGUUUGUACAUUAUUGAUCAAGGUUGACAGUGUAUGUACAAUAUUGAUCAAGGUUGACAGUGUAUGUACAUUAUUGAUCAAGGUUGACAAUGUUGGUACAUUAUUGAUCAAGGUUGACAGUGUAUGUACAUUAUUGAUCAAGGUUGAUAGUGUAUGUACAAUAUUGAUCAAGGUUGACAGUGUUUGUACAUUAUUGAUCAAGGUUGACAGUGUAUGUACAUUAUUGAUCAAUGUUGACAGUGUUUGUACAUUAUUGAUCAAGGUUGACAGUGAAUGUACAAUAUUGAUCAAGGUCGACAGUGUAUGUACAUUAUUGAUCAAGGUUAACAGGUGUUGGUACAUUAUUGAUCAAGGUUGACAGUGUAUGUACACUAUUGAUCAAGGUUGACAGGUGUUUGUACAUUAUUGAUCAAGGUUGACAGUGUAUGUACAUUAUUGAUCAAGGUUGACAGUGUAUGUACAUUAUUGAUCAAGGUUGACAGGUGUGUGUACAUUUUUGAUCAAGGUUGACAGUGUGUAUGUACAUUAUUGAUCAAGGUUGACAGGUGUAUGUACAUUAUUGAUCAAGGUUGACAGGUGUAUGUACAUUAUUGAUCAAGGUUGACAGUGUGUGUACAUUAUUGAUCAAGGUUGACAGUUGUAUGUACAUUAUUGAUCAAGGUUGACAGGUGUGUGUACAUUAUUGAUCAAGGUUGACAGGUGUAUGUACAUUAUUGAUCAAGGUUGACAGUGUGUGUACAUUAUUGAUCAAGGUUGACAGUGUAUGUACAUUAUUGAUCAAGGUUGACAGUGUAUGUACAUUAUUGAUCAAGGUUGACAGUGUGUGUACAUUAUUGAUCAAGGUUGACAGUGUGUGUACAUUAUUGAUCAAGGUUGACAGUGUGUGUACAUUAUUGAUCAAGGUUGACAGUGUAUGUACAUUAUUGAUCAAGGUUGACAGUGUAUGUACAUUAUUGAUCAAGGUUGACAGUGUGUGUACAUUAUUGAUCAAGGUUGACAGUGUAUGUACAUUAUGGAUCAAGGUUGACAGGUGUUGGUACAUUAUUGAUUGAGGUUGACAGGUGUUGGUACAUUAUUGAUUGAGGUUGACAGUGUAUGUACAUUAUUGAUCAAGGUUGACAGGUGUUGGUACAUUAUUGAUCAAGGUUGACAGGUGUUUGUACAUUGUUGAUCAAGGUUGACAGGUGAUUGUACAUUAUUGAUCAAGGUUGACAGUAUAGGUAUUGCAUUGAGACUUGAUACAAUGGUAGUCAACCAUCCAACCUACUUAAUUAACCAAGUUAGAUAACUCUAGUUUGCAUUUAAUGCAAAAUAUUUGCCCUUUAUUAUUCGACUUAGAAAAUCUGGUGAAGUAUUUGCAUGUAACCACAUUUAAGUCAAUAUCUCAGCAAAUAUAUCAUGUAUUGCAUUAAAACAUUAGAUAUAUAUUCCCAGAUAACACUUUUUUUAAUAUAAUGCAUAUUAUGGGCCUAGAAAUUCUCGUUAAAAUUAUGCAUGGAGACACAUUUAUCUCAGCACACCAUGUAUUUCAUUGAAAUCUAAUCUAACAGUGAUCCAUGCAUGUUUCGCCAAAACUUUUCAAUCCUUACAUUGAAAAGCGGCGGAAUAGUCGAGCAUGCUGUCUCUGUGACAGCUCUUGUUUAAAAGAUAUAUUACAAAACAUGAUGGAAAUAUCGCGAUAUAUCAUGAUACAUUUUGAACUAUACCCAAUGCUAUUUGAGUCUUUCACCAUUUCCAGCACCGUGGUGACUGUGUUAGGGCCAAACUAUAGACGUUCCUCACUUUGUUAUGUAUCUGCAGGAUGUUGUUGUGAUAUUUUUUUCCAAAUUCAAACCACUUAAGCCUAACUGAUAGCUCUAGUUAAACAUUAAGCCACAAACCAGAGUAUAUGUUAAUGUCUGAAGGGAAGAUAGGUGGCUGUGUUGGUAAACAUUUCUAUUUUCAUGUACAUGUUCCCGAAUUUAUUGUUAUAUUGUCAAGGAUAUUAGAAUGCUCAAUAAGCCUAAUAUAUUAUUAAAAUUUAAACUAUGACUACAAUUGUUACCAAACCUGCUGUAUGUCUUUAUAUAUGUUACAUGAAGUCAGUUGUAAAUAAAUAAUAAAUAAAAUUGAAAAAAGUUA